CAAACCUGCUAUUGGCCCACACCCCUGUGAUUCUACUUAAUAGUUCUGCUUUCAUGAGUCUUUAUGAUUUUCUGCUUUCUAGAUUGAAUGGGUUGCAAAUUCCAUUGCAUCUUCCUUUCUUAGACUUGGAAACUGAAAAUAUCAUUGGUUGUUUCCAUAGCUUUUGUAGACACUAAGCCAAUACACCCAGGUGAUAAACAAUAAUACUUGGCUUAAGUUGUGCUAUAGGAGAAAAAAAGAAUGUUCUCACCAAAAGCAAACAGUCAAAUGGAAAUAAAUGAAAACUCACUUGCAUGUAAGUAUAAUAUUUUCAUUCAAAAGUACAAAUAUCUCUUUAGCGUCCUUCGUGAUCUUUAAUCAAGUAGCUCCUCUCUGCAGAAAGACAUAGACUAUAAAGUGAAAAAAAAAAAAGGCCUGGAGGUCUGGAGGUCUGGCUUCUAAGUCCCACUUCCAAAAAGCUGUCUUCUGGUCCACAGUUUCACUCUGCCAGUCCUUAGCUACAAAAAAAAAAAAAAAAGCUUCUACUUUACUAUAGUCAUGGAAACCUCUCUUAAACCUGGCACUCUUUCACUUUGGGAGCCAGCUCAGACUUCAGAUCAGGAUUUACUGUUACUAGCUGUCUACCUGUCAGGGACCUCAAUCUAAAGUGCUCUCUGUGUAAAAUGGAGGUGAGAUUAACACUUAGCACACAGGUUUCUUUUGUAAUGUGUAACCUAAGGAAUGGUGGAGCACAGGUCUUGGCACUUAGGCAGGUUCAUACUACUACUGCCCUCUACUUGCUAUGUGUGCUCUAAAGACCACCUCAGGGACUUAUACUACCUUUACCCUAAGUGAAGGUGAUAGUUAAUAUUCUCAGAUAGCAUUUAUAUAUGCAAGAGCAUAUAUAAAUAUUUAAAUUAUCUUAUUUCAUAUAUAUUUAAAUUAUUUCAUUUAAACUUCACAUCAGUCCUUAUUUUACUAACAGGGGCUCCAGGAGGCCAAGUCAACUUUCUCAGUUCCAUAGCUCACAGGUUCUGAGCUACUUGGUCUUUCAGACUCUAAAGUUCUAUUUGGUUUGUACCACUUGUUGGAAACAUUCAGUAGAAGAAAAGCAAUGACUAGAUACAGGUGAAGACAGUUGAAGCAGAAUAGUUAGGAGAGGAGGCUCGGAAGAUGUAGAUAGUCUAUUGUUUAGCAGCUGAUGUGACCACAACUGGUUUAACAUCAAACUUCCUCUAUGGGUUUUAUGUAUCAGAUGGGAUCAAUUAAUUAUGCAUCAUACCAAUUCCAAGAAUGAUUACCUAAUCUGCAAAAUUAAACUUUAAAAACAGCCCUGUUUUUAUAUGGCACACGCCUUCACUGACUCAGUGUGAUAACUUCUGAGCAGGCUGCCCUGUGCAGUCAGGUUCAGGAGAUUAGGAGUCCAUCAUGGAAGGACCAAGGCUAACGUUGCUGAUAGGGCCACCAGGUAUAGAGACCCGUGAAGUAUAUAGAGAGAUUUCAAGGUUCAACUCUGAAUCUGAAUUGCUGAAACUUACCAGGCCUAAUUCCAGAAUGAGUGGCUGUAGCAGUUGCCCUGUUCAGCGCAAAACAAUAGAACCCACAGAGAAAAGGGUAUAGGGGAGGAUAUAAACAUCUUCAAAAAACAUAAAUUCCUUAUGAGACUUCUAUAAUCCAUUAGUAAGAGGAAAGCAUUGGUGAAUACAUUCUGAACUUUUUUGCAAUUAGCAGUGAAGAGAACAGUUCCCCUACUUUUCCUAGAGAUUCAUUAACAGAAACAAAAUUCACCUUUUGUGUAUGCUGGUAUUUAUACUCCAUAAUUUAACAUUUUGGGCCUGAAUUUUUUUUUCUUCUCCAGGAAAAAAAAAUCAUUUUUUCUUAAACAAAUAUUUGAGUGUAUCUUAACCAUAUUCUCAACUUGUCAACAAUAUUUAUAGAUGUAAUUUUAAAAAGUCUACAAUCAGAUGUGUAUACAGGAAAAGAAUAUUCUGAAUCCUCACUUCAAAACAAAAACCAUUAGUUUUUGUCAUCAUUUCCCAAAUUAGCAGGUGUUUAGAAAGAAAUCAGAAAUGUCAGGCAGUAUGAGAAAUGUUCCCUCCACUAUAUAUACUUUUUGACAUUGAGGGUUUUCAGAGCUACAUUCCUCCAACAGAUGUCAUAAAUUUUGUGUGUCACACAAUGAAUGAAGCUAUGUUGAGAGUUCACUAAUAAGAAUGUAACUUUGCCAAAUUUAUGACAAAUGGGCAUCAACCCAGAGGAUAAGGCUGGUUCUGGCUGCCUGUGAGAAUUUUAUUUCCAUCUGUUUCCAAGGCCAUGGAGAACAAAGAGUUGAGUCAGGGCCUUAUCAGAGCCUGCCAAUGCUGAUGCCCUGAAUGAAAUGCUGAUUCAGCAAAACAUUGCCCCUUCUGACCACAAAGGCCAGAGGAAAAGGAGGCCUGGAGAGAUUAAGUGGCUUGCUCCAAGACAUUCAGCUGGUUGAGUUCAGCUCAGCAGCGGGGCUAGCUGAGAACUAGAUGUGGCAAUGUGUUCCUCAGCCCUGGGCUUUCUUCCCUUCUGCAUUGUGCCCUUAGCCAAGCUGAAACUACUUUUUUCUUUUGAAAUGAAAAUCCCCAGUACCAUUGACCUGGAGGCUAUUCAUUGUAUGGCCAGGAUGCCCCAUACAUGAAAGAUAUAAUGUUUGUUGAUUGGAAAAAUAACCCAGAAACAAGCACCAGUAAUAGCUUCAAAGUUGUUCAUUUGUGCACAGGAGGUGAACGUCAUAGGUUCAUAUUUCACUUUUAAUCAAAACGCCUACCCUUGAGAAUAGGUUUCUGUGACACCAUUCUCAAACUAUAUUUGGAUUUGCUGCUGAUUGCAAGUAGACAGAACACAGGAUACUGCGCCAAGGUCUGGCUUUGAUGUAAAGGAAGGCAGUGCAGCCUUAAUUCUUUCUGGAGGAGUCAUCAGGGGACCACUGUGGAAUCCAUGCCCCUGUUCAGAGGAAAGCUGAUGGCACAAAAGGUAAGGUGUCUUUUGUAUGUGUGACAGAGGAGCAGCUCUCCCUCCAUUUUCCCAGGGGCCUGCUGGGCAUGGGUGGGCCAGAGGAAUGAAAAGCCACCUCCUCUUAGUGGAUGCUGCAUGGGGAAGGGUACAGAGACACCAGCAUACUGCAUGAUGGUGAGUCUCAAUCUAUUUCCAACUCUAAGGAUUUGGAAUACUGCCUUUCCAGUGGAACUCUCUUUUACACUCAAAAAUUGAAAAUCCACUCCCAGGUGCCUGGGGAUGAUAAUGCCCUUCAGUGUUCCAGUGAGCUGAGUUUCAGUGGGUUUACUAGAUCCUGCACCAGAACCCACACUCCAUACCCGUCUCAAGUUCAGUUCCUCCGUGAAAACCAUGGUUCGCAUAAAACAAUUGUCAAGGAACUACUUAAAAGAUCAUGCUUUGGUCAAGAGCAUAAUGUGAACGUCUUCACUAUCUAUCCCCCAAAAGGACUGAGUAUUGCUAAAAGCUCAGUGAUCCACACAAAAAUUGGAACAAUGCAAUGGGAUUGGUGGGGGAGAGGCAGGGCAGGGGGCGGGGUUAGGGAGGUGCUGGCAUAUCUGCCUCUUGGGAGACCAGGCAGUUCGAAAAUGAGAACUGCUAGCUUGUUCCAUGAGAACUGCUAGCUUGUUCUGCUUGAAGGCUCACUGCCAUGUUUUGUUUUCCUGCUGUAGUCCACCAACACUCCUUUCCAGAACAACUCAGGACUGUCCAGCCCCUUCUCAACAAAUUAGGGCCAGGUACGAUGGCACACACCUGCAAUCCCAGUGGCUCAGGAGGUUGAGGCAGGAGGAUUGUGAAUUCAAAGCCAGCCUCAGCAACUUGGUGAGGCCCUAAGCAACUCAGUGAGACCCUGUCUCUAAAAUAUUUAAAAGAGCUGGAGAUGUGGUUCAGUGGUUAAGCACCCCUAGGUUUAAACCUCAGUGCCUGCCCUGCCCCCCAAAUUAAGAAGAAACAAAGGCAGAGUAAUUUGUCUAGUAAUAAGAAUAUAAUAAAGUAAAAAAAAAAAAUGAGUCCCAAUGAAUUUUUUCUGGUGUCAAAUCUUGGCAAAGUUGCUUACCUCUCUUGAGUUGCUAACCCCCUUCUUAAAAACUAUCUGGAACAUCUUCAUUCCCCUACCAUUUCCUGAAAUUUUUUAUUACUCUAACCUCUUAUUCUACUCACUAUCAGAUGCAAAAGAGCUUCCAUGUUGUCAUUUAUUAAUUAGGGAAUAUAUGGAAAGUAAGCUUUAUAAUUUGGUCUAAAAGACUAAGAAUUAAAUUCCAUUUCUAUUUUUAAAAGACAUUAUUUGAGGAACUGUACAUUGGGAGUUGCAGGAUGAUACAGAAAAGGUAUAAAAUAGACUUCUUGGCAUCAAGGAGUCUGUGAAAUCCAGAGGAAGCAACUAAAUAUAUGCACACACACUUAAAAAAAUGAUGACAUGGCAAAUUGAAAGUAGAUGAUACAGGAGUACAAGGGAAACGGACAUACUCCCUUCUGGGAAGGUUUUUAUACCCCUAAAACAAGACCCCUGGGGCAUGCUGUGUGAUUUCCUCAAAGGCACUCCAGUCCCAGGCAAAUCAUGACUCACCCUGGCCUCUAAAAUCUUAGAAAUGAGCUCUACUGGCUUAGAAAGGCUUUGGUUUUUACUAGUUACUUUGUCCACUAGGUUUUUGUUCAUUGUUGUAGCUUUCUUCUCCCAUAGUCUCAUUUUAACACUCUCUCUUGCCUAUUUCCCAUUAUUUGGUCUUACCUAUCAAACCUUUUCUUUUGUCCUAAGGCAACUUUUAAUCUUUAGAGGAAAGAAUAGAAUAUAAACAAACAGUUGCAUAAACUGUCCGAGACCAUAAAAUCAGCUUUCUACACCACUAGUUAGCCUUGGGUCUCUGGAAAAACCAAAAACAGAAUGUUCACUAACAUCCUCUUCCAUGGGAUAUGUCCUAGCUCUAUUUCUUGGAAUAAUGAAGAUCUGAUCCUCUUGGGUUACCUGACUUUAGAAGCCUCAGCCAAGUUCAGAGCCUCCCUAACAGGUUAGGAGUGCUGGGUGUCUCCAGAUAACCCAUUUCCCAGUCUUUCAAGAGAGAUGAAAAGUAGGGCAGUGUGCUGGGUUUCACUGCUGCCUUAGCAGGAACUGCUGGGCUGGGGUGGGAGCUCGCCAUUUGCUUUUCUAAUUUUGAUUAUUCCUAUCCAAAACAGAAAAGAAAAGAAAAUUUUACUGAUAAACAUGGAUAAUUAAAUUUGAUUGGAAAAGAUGCCAACCUAAAGAAUUAAUCCCAAUUUGUAUAACAGGAAUAGAUGUGUGUUGUUUAUUUAAAGGAAUAUGUAAAUUUCAUGCAAUACUUUGCAAGUUCAAAUGAAAAGCUAUUUGGUUACAGAGUUGCAAGGUAAAUAAGCAAAAUGUGAGCCUAAAGUAAAAGCUACCAUAUACUAUACCAUAUGUAUACAUUUUGAGUUUUUUAUUUGCUAUAAAUCAUACAAUAGAGAAAAUCUACAAAGCAAAAAAGAUUACCUGUAAUCUUAACACUUUUAAAAAGAAGGAUUUUCUGUUUUCCAUGUAGUUUGCUAGUGUGUGUAUGUCUUUUUAUUCAAAUUUUUGUAUUCAAAAACGUUUGCAUAAGUACUUUCCUAUAUUGCUAAGCUAGUCUUCAUGAUAUCAUUAUACGAUAUUCAUCUAGCUAAUGUGCCAUAAUUUGUUCUCUCAUAUUUGAUCAUUUGGGUCUUUUCUAAUUUUUCGUAACUAGGGCUGAUUAGAGAUUCUUUGUAAUGCGGAUAUUUUAUGACUUGUGGGAAAUAAACAUGCACUUUGAAAAAAAAACUUUCUUUUAAGUUGCAGACAUAAUGUAAAAUAUAGAAUUAAGCUGCUUCUCAACUGUGUGUGAUUUCUGCUUCAACCUGGACUAGACAGCCUUUUCUUGAGCCGCGCCCCGGCCCCCCCAACUUUGGGUUCUUAAGAAAGAAACAAAACACUGUUCUCAAACUGGUUGGGGUAGAGAAAUCUAGCUCCACAGGUUAUUCUCUGUUUCUCUCUUCAUCUCUAUGAAACACAAAUAUGAAAAAUGGAACUUUAAGCCACGUGUUCACCACAGCUACCUAUUCUUCUUGCCUGUAACCUUGUCUAGACCCAUAACUGAUAUGAGUAAAUAAUGGGUAUGUGCUAUGUGGACUCAGAAGCACUGCCCAGGUACUCAGUUUGGGGAGAACCCUCAAGUGCUAGGUAAUAAACAUUGAUAGUGGGAGGAAGCAGUCAUAAAGGAAGCCAGUACCUAGGCUGAGGAGGCAGCCUAGGUACUGGGUAAAAUCCAGGCUUUGAAAAAGACCAGAAUUUGAAAGCCACCUCUACUGUAUACUGGUUUUGUGACUUUAAGUAAGCUACUUAAUUUCUCUGUGAUUGAUUCCCCAUCUGCCAAAUGGAAAGAUAAUAGUAUCUGCAUCAUAAAAUUUGGGACAUGGUUAAAUAUGUUAUUGCAUAUGAAGUUUUUAGUAUAAUCCCCGACACAGCAAACUCAACAAGGAACAACUCCCAUUGGUGUGUUGUUAUUGAAACGCACCUGAAUCUUGCAUCCCUACAAUCAUCCUGUAUAGUCCCUCCCUGGGCUUCAAAGGAAAGGCUGCCCUUUGCCUCUUCCCUACUCACUGUGAGGCUGUGAUAUUUUGCUCUCCUCUUCAGGACCACCAUUGACAUUCAUUUCCUCAGGAAAAUCAUGAUGGGUCAGGGCAGUGGCCAGAUAGCUUCAUAGAUCUUUCCCCUGAAAUCACAAGGAAGCAAGGCUUCUAAAAUCCAGCACAGGUAAACAGCAUUAAGAGCCCCCCUCCAGGAAACAGAGGAGGAGCCUGAAUAGACCCUGAAUGAGCAACCAUCAGCAUCUGUCCAGGGAGUUAUCUCUCCUUGUGGCAUCCAGAACAGAGUGCCCAGGUCCAGUGUCUCCUCCAGGUGAUAGGGGUUUUCUUUCCAGGUUAGGUUUCCUGGGGACUUCUCAAUGACACUAUGAAAACCCAGCUCACCUGCUUGUUGAUUCUACUCUCUGACUCUAAAGCACUUGAAAGCUGACAUCAGAUAGCAACAUCCUGGUCCUCCUCUGGUGAAAUCCUCAGCAUAUAAAAUGCUGCUUCAUGGUCCCCUAUCUUGGACUUACAGCUCCUACCUCCAUAUCUUUAGCCUUUAAACAGGAGGGUUAGCAGGAGGAGGCAGGCUGUUCUCACUGGAUCAGAUUGUGGCAUUCUGGAGGAGGCAGGAGCUUGAAGUCCUUAGUUGGCUAUGACUUUUGCCUAGAGAGUAGUUCUGGUAUGGGGCAGGACAUAGGGACCCAGCCAGCACCAGGAAUAAAGCCAAGCAUCUGCUCUGUGCUUUUAGGUUUGGCUGGCCAAGGUAUUUGACACCAGGGGACAUCUUUCCUUUCACACUCUAUUGUCAUAGGGCUUCAAUUACAUUCUUGACUGGGAGCCCAGGAAUGGGGAUAGUGGACACUCCAGAAAUCCUUAGAGCAGUGACUACAUAAGUUUGUACCCUAUCUGCCACCCUAACAAUGGUGCACAUCCCUGGUCUUCUAGAUGGAGGGGUCACUGCAACCUCCAGAUAGCAGAAGGAACCAGUUGCCACCUCAGAUUUGACAUUAAAGAGAAGUGGGAGGUCAGUUUGCGCACCUCAGAGCUGGAUUAUCCUAUAGGACUGGGUACUGAGUGAGCUGGCACAAUCAGGGCACCCAAAAGAAUGAGAAAAAAGUAUGAUGGAAUUUAAUAGUUAAUGCAAAUUAAUAUUUAUAUUUUAUAUUUCAAAAUGAUGUAUUAACAAAGCCAUCAUUGAAAAAUAGAAAUUUGCUGUCUUAUAAAUAUUUUCUAGUUUAGUGAUAGUGUAUCUGGAAUUAUGAAUGCCUUUCAUGAAAAUGCUGUCUUGAACUGACUGCAUAUCUCAUCAGUGUCACAGUUCACCAUCAAGAAGUGCUGGGCUCUUCCACAAGCUUCUCACCCAGGCCCUAACUCUCCAGAGGACCCACCUCAUUUCCCCUCAACAUAUGGCCACAUAUCUAUACACAGAGCCAUUGUCAUCACUGCCACCACUAAUCACCUACAGGAAACACCGACCACAUUUAUACAUUAUGUGUCUGUUUUUUGAAUCUGUAAUAGUAGGCUUCAAUCCCUAAUGCUUCCCAGUUAACCACUGGGGAAUGUAAGGCAAGUUACUUGGCUCUGACUUUUGGUUUUCUCCUCUAUAAAAGCAUGCCUCGGUAGGGCUGGUGGUGCACGCCUGUAAUCCCAGCUAUUCUGGAGACUGAAGCAGAAGAAUCACAAAUUCAAGGUCAGCCUGUUCAAUGACCCUAUCUCAACAUUUUUAAAAAGGGCUGGGGAUGUGGCUCAGAGAUAGAGCACCCCUGGGCUUCAUCCCCAGUACCAGGGAAAAAAAAGACUGCACCUGCCUCUUAUGGUUAUAUUAAAGAAUAAAAGAUAAAUCAUGAACAGGGCCUAUAUGGUGAAAUUUACAAAUGUUAGGGUUGUUUCCUGGAGCAUGGCUCACACCUGUAAUCCCAACAGCUCAGGGGAGUGAGGCAGGAAGAUCGCAAGUUCAAAGCCAGGUUCAGUGACCUUAGUGAGGCCCUAAACAACUCUGUGAAACUGUAUCUCUAAAUAAAAUACAAAAAAGGGCUGAGAUAUGGCUCAGUGCUUAAGCACCCUUGGGUUCAAUCCCUGGUACAAAAAAAUAAAAAAUAAAAAUAGGGUUGUCAAUGUUCUCUCUUCACUCCUAGCCCCUUAUAGAGGAAAUAAGCACAUAACCAUCACAUCUUAGCCUGAUGGACUUUGUGGGGAAACUUAAUCUUCAUAAGUUUCAGCCUUCAUUGUUUCAAAUAUUUGAAGUAGAGGGGCUUUUCUGGAGAGAGGUUUGCUUAAAGGUAAUUCUCUGAAAUAAUUUUGGGUUUUUUUUGAGUCAGCCAUCAAUGGGGCAUCAGAUGAUUGUGUCUAAGAAGCACUUAGCUGAGGAUUCCUGAACAAGCAGGGCCAGCCUUGAGCCUCCCUGAGUUUCAGUGAGUUGUGCAUUUCAGGGCAGGCCCCUGUCCAAGAUCCCAUGAUCCCCAAAACUGUGAUCAGUGAGAAGGAAGCACUUCCUCAAUUCCUCUUUCUCUCUUUUGCUUCCUGGCAAUGAGGUUUGCUCUCUCACGUGCUCCCACCAUGGUGUGAUGCCUUGCCACAGGCCCAAAAUCAACAGCACCAACAGGUCAUGGACUGGAACCUCCAAAAAUGUAAGUCAAAUGAAACCUGUCUGUUUAUAAUUAUCUCAGACAGAAAGCUGAUUACCACAGGAUCCUUCAUUAUUUAACAGCAGUUGCCCUCUCAGAGGGCAGAGAUUGUUUUUUCAUCACUUUUACAAUUAGUGUAUCCCUAAAAUAUAAUAGAAAUCAACAGAAGUCUGCUAGAUUUGAUAGAGGUGAAACUCAUUCUGCCUGAAGGUGAAGUUGGUAGUUAAUUACAAUGUAUCAAUUGAGGGACCUUCUUCAAAAUGCCCUUUCCCUCACUCUUCUUGAAAUUCCUUUAUUAAUAAAUUUUCUACAGGUGCAGUGGUGCAUUCCUAUAAUCCUGGAGACUAGGGAGGCUGAUGCAGUAGAAUCACAAGUUUGAGGCCAGUCUCAGCAAUUUAGCAAGACCCUCAGCAAUUAAGCAAGAACCUGUCUGCAAAUAAAAAAAUAAAAUAAAAAAGGAUUGGGGAUGUACUCAUCCCCAGUGGUAAAGUACCCCUGGUUCCACCUCUAGUACAGAUGAUGAUGAUGAUGAUACUUUUUAUUUUACUUUAACUUUUCUUACCCAGUUGUUUUAUUUUAAACAUCAGUGCCAUUAGGGAAAUGGGAUACUAAUAAAAACAAAAUAUUAACUUCUUCAUGUUUUUGCCCUGGAAACCCUGUAAACCAGAGUUUGGCAAACUAUGGUCAAUAGGUCAAAUUCAGCCUACCAUGUACAACCUAAGAGUAAAGAAUGGUUUUUCAAUUUUUAAAUGGCUGAAAAAAAACUCAAAAUAAAAAAACUCAAAAUAGUUUAUAAUAUAUGAAAAUUAUCUUUCUUUUAGCUGUAGAUGGACACAAUAUUUUUAUUUUUAUUUAUUUAUUUAUUUGUUUAUUUUUAUGUGGUGCUGAGGAUGAAACCCAGUGCCUCAUGCUUUCAAGGCUAGCACUCUACCACUGAGCUACAACCCCACCCCUUAUUUGUGUUCUUGAUAAUUGCCAUUCUGACUGGAGUGUGAGGAAAUUUCAGUGUAAUUUUGAUUUACAUUUCCCUGAUUGCUAGAGAUGCUGAAUAUUUUUUCAUGUAUUUGGCCAUUUGUGUUUCUUCUUUUGAUAAAUGACAUUUAGUUCUUUUGCUCAUUUAUUAAUUGAGUUAUUUGGAUUGGUUUCUUUGUCUAUGGGGUAUGAAUCAUGGUGUUAAGUUUUUUGAGUUCUUUAUAUAUUUGGAUAUCAAUCCCCUCUCUGAGGAGCAGGUGGCAAAGAUCUCUCAUUCUGUAGACUUUCUCUUCACACUCUUAAUUGUUUCCUUUGCUGUGCAGAAACCUUUUAAUUUGAUGCUAUUGUACUUUUUGAUUCUUGACUUUAUUUCUUGUGCUUUAGGAGUCUUGUUAAGGAAGUCAGUGUCUGUGCCAGCAUGUUGGAGUGUUGGCUUAUAUUUUCUUCUAGUAGUUGCAGAGUGUGUGGUCUAAUUCCUAGGGUUUUUAUCUACUUUGAGUUGACUUUUGUGUAUAAUCUCUUUUUAGUGGGGAAAUGGUUCUUUAAGAGGUACAUUGAUUUCCAGAAAUUCUAUGUAAAUAGAAGUCUUAUUAAUAAAAUAGUAUUUUAAAAAUAGUUUUAUACUUCUAUUUAAAAAUAAUUACUUAGGUUUAGAGGAUAAAAACAUUAGCUUGAAUUUUGGGAGACAGGUUGGUCAGAAGCAGUGACUAUGCUAGCCCAGGAUACCUCCUCUUCAUCUUGUCUUUUCACUGCUCCUAAUUCUUGGAGACCAGGUCCAUUAGUGAUGGUGCACUUCUUACUCAAUCUCUGAGUCUCAGCUCAGUGGAAGCAGACUGUUUGAAUUAUGACCCAAGCAAAGAGAGAUUUUUCCCAGGAGUAGAAAAGGAAGUGAUUUACUCUGGGUAGUCCCGACUACAUGCCUGGGAAAUCAUCGCUCUGCAGCUAAAUGGUUUCCAUACUGCAAAGAGCAGGGGAAAAGAACAGGCAAGGAUAGGAAUUCCAGAAGUGGGUUUUCUUCCAUCCUCCCCACCCCAAGUUUAUUGGUAAAUGUGUGGUUGUUGUGUUAGUCACCCCAUUUCCCCACAUGAACUCUUUCCCCAAACUCCUGCUUUUGCAGCUAGUCAACUUCAAGGACAGUAAAUUUGGGCUGAGUUGCCAGCUCAAGGAUUUUCAAGUCAGACAUCACCUCUCAGUGAGGAAAGCUGAUGAAGUCUGAUCCAGUGUGAUUUCCCCAGGCUCCAUGGAAUUGUAGAUUUUCGUGGAUUUGCCAGAGGAAUUUUAUUGGUCUCACCGGGAAGAUGAAGCUCCAUUUUCCCUUCUCACAUUAGACUGUCCCAGCAGGGGAAUGUAAGAGAAUUCUUGGGUCUGUAACAGCAUGUGAGCCUUCUAGUGGUACACAGAAUUGCUGGUGGGCAAUUUAAAAAUCAAUUCCACCUUCAACUGUGAGAUGCAGAGAAUUCAUGGAAGGCAGCAAAUGUUCAUUCUUUCUGCCCCAUCUAGUUUGGUGGAAUACAGGGUACAAUCUCUGCUUUCAAAGCAUGAUAGAACAUAUGCAUGAAAUACCUUUAGACAAAGAAUCUUUUCCUAACAUGAAGAAACUUCAAAUUUGCCCAGAGUCAAAAAAAAAAAAAAAAGUUCAAGAUGUCAGAACUGGAAGGGAGAAGUAAUUUUACAGAUAUGGAGGAGGAGACCAAAUUGUUGAGGCAGGUCAUUCAAAAUCCCAUAGCUAAGGGACAGCAGGGUGCACAUUAUGAUCUAGGGUGCCUGACAAGAUACCCAGAGCAUUUCCCAUGAGGCUGCACUGUCUUCCCUUCCUGGCUGAUGGAGAUGGGUUGUGGAUAGAAUGGUAGAACUAGGAAGGCAGAUAACUGGUGAAUGGAGAAAUAGAAAAAGAAGACAGGAGCUACCUACAUGCCAGGAAAUACUAAUGUCAAUCCCUUCCCAUCUUUGAUAUAAGCUAUUGCUAUUUCUUUAUAUUAUAUAAAGCAUGAAAACCCAGCUCCAAGAAGCAUGCCCUGGACCCUGCUUUCAGACUGCCAGUCCUAAACUCCCACUGGUUCUAUGGGCUUUGUAUAGCUUCUUAUUUAAUACAACAAUGAUAUGAGUAGGCAAUUUACCCCCAUUUUAAUUGAUAACAAUAUUAAAGCUCAAAAAGAACACAGAGCUGGGGGAUGGUAGAGCUGGGGGUGCAAAGCUCACAUCCUUUUUGCUAUUUAGUGCUCUUCUCUUCUGAGAAUGCAGGUGAGCUGCAAGGAAGAGUGAGGGGAAGGGCCCAGUGGGGGUGGCCAGUAUGAGGAUGAGCUAUGCCUUGGAUGGACUGCCAGUCUAUUCUUCAGAGAGCCCUGGGCUGAGCAGUCACUGUGUAGAAUUCGAAGGACAAAGUAAACUUCCCAGAGCAAAGAUGCCAGUUCCUGCAGAGCAUGGCCUCUGGUUUCACUUCUGUCACCUGUGAUGCUUAGAGCACAACAUUGUACCCAUACCUGCUUCCUUGAUAUGAGAUGAGGAACCAAUUUGAUCCCAAACUACAACAAAGCUUUAUGCUAUUUUCCUUUUAUAGGAAGAAAAACAACUUCUAUAUACUCUGUAUGGUAUCUCUUUUAAGGAAAAUUCCCUGAGAGCAUUGGACAUCUAGACCCAAUGCAUGCAGAUCAUACUGGCAGAACUGGCCUUAUAAUUAGUUCAUCUACUAGAGGCUAUUUGUCACUCAUAGACCAGGAGGUGCCAGCUCUGUCACCUCCAUAGCAUAACUAUCCAUUAAAUAGACCCUCACAUGAAAAAUACAUAGAGAAGACACUUGCUCACUAGGAUCAUAUUAUGACAUUAUAGACCAUGGGUACUUUUUUCCUUUGUGGGUCCCUUCCUUCAUAAAAUAUACCUCCCUCCCCACACACAUACAUAUAUAAAUUAUAUUUUAUACUGCAUUGGUAAGAAAACAAAUAAAUCAAUAUCAUAUAGUAGAAUAUUUUUAAACUUUUUCUUUAACCUAAAAGGUUUUUUUCCUCCUGACUUUAAAAGAACCUAAAAUAUUUCCAAGAGUAUGAUAGGCCCCAGACACAGUGCUUCCUGGAGCAAAUGGAGAAGCUGCCCUGCUCCCUUCCCUUUUGCUUCCUCCUGCACUCAUGGCACUAUUGACUUCAACAAGUAAAGAGCCUGUGUUGGCUGAAGGAAAUUCACAAUGCAGUGUGUUCCCAAAGAAAGCCCAGUAAUAAAAGGAGUGGGGUGGGGCUGCGGUUAGGGAGAACCUGAGAGAGCCCAGGCCUGGGGACCAGAGGCCUGAAUCUCAGUGGGCUUUACCACUUGACUCUUCAGCUGCCCCACAGGGACACAGCUCUGGCUCACAGGGUAGGAUGAACAUCAAAGGAGCCCAGAGACCAGAUUAGGAGCAGACGAAAAUGAAGCCAGAAUUCAGAUUUAUCUUACUUUCUAUCAGUGAGAACAGGCCAGAGGGCAAGUAAAAUCCUUGUCCUGAUAGAUGAUGAGGUCUCCAUUCUGGGAAGUGUCCAGAUGCAGCUCCUACCCUGGAGAUAAGAUGUAUCAGCAAAUUCUUAUGAAAGGAGAUGGAGACAAUGUCAUUCUGCAGGUUCAAGAGAGGGAGGCAAUGCAGGUGUUCCUGGAAGGUCUGCUGUUUGAGAAAGAAGCAGCCAAAAAAUGGAAGAGGACACUGUGGUGCAGGCUCCCUGCAGAGCUGCCCUGGGCAGGGUGGCCAUGCUGCAGGCAGAGGCAGUUUGGAGGGUGCAGAAUGAGAGAAGGUGGACACUGGUUGGAAAGGAUGGAGCCAACAAGAUGGUAGAAGGUCACAAGGUACCUAAGUGACUGCCCUCCAUGGCCCUCAGAAUUUACUAUUAACCUUAUAAUACAAUGUAACAAUGGUUAUUACAGUUUUACCAGCUGCAACAAAAUACAGGCAGGUAAUCAGGAGCAAGGACUUAGAAAAGGUGCUGCAAGGGAGGUAAGGGACAGUCCAAAAUCUUGGCAAGGGCUCUCAAUUAACCACAAGCAGAGUCAUCUGGUCAAUAGACCUCCCUGGCACAGAGCUCCCAGCUGACAAGCUUUAUUCAAAGGCCUGUGAGAACAUGUGAGACAUGUGCAAAAAAAGGUUUUGGGCUCCAAAACACAAAAAUAAUAAAAAAAUGAAUCAAUACAUUUUAAUUAAAUGUCUAUAAAACAUAAUCAUGUCAAUCUUGUUCAUUUGUAAAUUCAGCAUUUCUAAAUUCUAUGUUUGGAAAUAAGGCUAAGGUUUGAUUUUCUCACUGUAUAAACUUUCCAGUGCAUGUACAAUGGUAACCCAGAGUAGCUAAAUAAUUCCAAAAGCAGGAAUAGUGAAAAUCCUUUGGAUUCUUUCCAAAACACAAACACACACACACGAACACACACACACACACUAUAUUUAAUGUGAAAUAUGUGUAUUUGCUGGUGUGUUAAUGUGCUAUGAAAUGUGGAGUUUAUAAUUAGAAGACUCUGGGGCCUAUAAUGGUCUCAAGACAUUUGAUCUUAGCCAAAAAGCUAAGAAACACUUGUAGAGGUCUUAAUAAAUCAGCCCUGGUCACAGACCCUGGAAUUGGGGUUCAGUCUAAAUUGAACCAGAUCUCUGAGGGGUGAGAUGGGGACCCUAUAUCUGUGUAAUAACUGGAUUAGAUGAACCUCAGAACAUUCCAACUCAGAGUCUGAACACAGCUUUCCCCCAUGAAGAGCAUUCAGAGGGAUAAGCGGCAGAUGUGAAAUUCUCCAGAAGGAAGAAAUGCCUUUCAGGUAUAAUGAAAAGUUAUGUUAAGUCCCCUCUGGGGCUGAUGUACCCAUAAAAGAGAGUGACCAGAAUGAGUGAAUAGUGCUUCACUGCGUGGCUGGUGGCAAGUGACCUGGGUGUGAGGUCAGGCACCAGCGCGCUGGCUGGCAGCGACCCCUAGCGAUGGUAGGUCCCUGACUGCAGCUGGAAUGUCUGCUACCCAUUCAAGUCUGACACUGAUGCUAGUUUUCCUUUGAAGGGCUUCUUUUUCUUCCUUUAAUGAUUUCACUCUUAUAUUUGAGAAAAGGGAAAAGGAAAAAAAAAAAAAACAGUGUUCUCCAAGCAUCUCUCUUCCAACCUCACUUUUUGUCUUUGAUGUGGUUCCAGGCUUAUACCAUCACCUGCCCUCCCUGUCACGCCCAACUGUGUUCUCUUCCCCUGCCCUCACCAGCCAGGUUUCCUCAGGGUGUCAAGAAACUUCUUUCUGUGCAGCAUGGAAGGUGACAUGCAGAUGGCCCUUCAGCCCCCCUCAAAGGCUGGGUACAGAGCUGUGAGGGGUAGUGAGGACAGGCCAGAUGAAAGAAGCUGCCCCCUAACCUGGCUGCCACAGAAACCAGGUUUCCUUCCUCCCAUCAACCCCAAAUGGCUCCUGGCCUGACCUCACCGAUGAAAUGGCCAGUGAGGAGGUGUUUGUAGGGCCACUGGUGUUGGCCUGCUCCUCACUGGCAGAAGUGGGGGCGGGGAUAGUUUAUGGCUAUGUUUGUCUCUCUGUUAUGGAUGUCAAUGACCAGAAAGGUAGAGACUGAAGAGCAAAGGUGGUGACAAGUAACCCUCUCCCAGGGAACAGGCCCAGCUGUUCUUCCUGAGGAACCCCCUCCCUCCACUGCACAAAGCAUACAGGUCACUUUGGUUUUCACAAUAAUGAACUAACAUUCAUCUAGCACUUUCCUGCUCACUGAGAACAUUUGCAUAUUUUAUUUGGUAUUUGUAGCAAUGCUGGAAAUAAAAUAGGGCAGACACCAGAAUUGUAAGUGUGGCGAGCCAGCCAUGGGCUGUGUGUGUGAGCUGUGAGCAUUUUGAGCACACAAAGUGGACUGGACUGAUGAUGUUACUCUGUCCGGGCUGUGCACAUAUGUGUCCUUUCGCUUGCUCUGCCUUUGAUCCCCAUACAGCACAUGAGAUGGGCGUGGCCUUCCAAGAUGUCAGUCAACCUGCUGACCCACAAGACAUCACAAAGCUAGACUCAACGCCCUGAAACCUGACCCCUUGCCUCAUUUGAAUGGCUUUUCCCCAAUAAAAGGGUUCAGAACAUGCUCCUGGCUCUCCUUCUUGCCUGCCUUGCCUCGCUUGUGGGAGUUGUGGCUGAGGAGCGGUCACUGAACCCAAAGAAAAGUAUUUUCUGUGUCUGUGUCUUUAUUUAGUCAGCCCAGAUUCACAUGGAGUGACCCUGACUGGUCGUGUGUCAUGACGUAUGAGCUCAAAGAUGAACUGACCAUGCUCUGGGGCCAGUGAGCAUAUAAGCCAAGCUUGGGUCCUCUGACUCCAAGCCCUUCUGGGAAUGGACUUCAAUCCUGAGAAGCAACAAGGAAGCACCACUGUAAGUGUAGCUGAGUGAGCAAUGAGUGGAUUUGGAGUAGGGGUUCACAUGCAGUGAGUAUUCAUGAACCUAAACCAGAAUAACUGUCUCAGGAAGUUUUCAGGGUUCUUAAAAUGCUGAUGUCAUAUAGCAACUUGGGAGGCUGAGGCAGAAGGAUUGCAAGUUUGAGGCCAGCCUCAGUAACUGAAUGAAACCCUGUUUCAAAAAAUAAAAAGGGCUGGGAUGUAGCUUAGUGGUAAAGCACCUAUGGGUUUAAUCCCCAGUUUAAAAAAGAAAAGUGCUGACAUCAUGUAAAGUCAUUGAUUUUUUUUUAAAGAGAGAGAGAGAGAAUUUUUAAUAUUUAUUUUUUAGUUUUCGGUGGACACAACAUCUUUAUUUUAUUUUAUUUUAUCUUUAUGUGGUGCUGAGGAUGGAAUCCAGCACCGCGCAUGCCAGGUGAGCGCGCUACCGCUUGAGCCACAUCCCCAGCCCCAAAGACAUUGAUUUUUAGAUGGAAAGAUGAUUCUGUUUAUGGCAAGAUUCCACAAUCCAUCCAUUCUUCUAUAAAUUUAACAAAUGUAUAAGCAUAUUGAGCACCAUUUCAUGUCCAAUAAAUAUAAGCCAAUUCGCUAAAAAAAUCAGUAUAACACCCAAUCCACUGAAUUGUCAAUUUAAUAAAAUUGUCAGCUGAUUAAUUCACCCGGAUUUUUACAAGGUUUACCCAUUGUAGUUGUAAAUGCUUGAACAGUAAUGUUUUAACAAUUAAAAUGUUGGCUAAAUAAAUAUAUGUAGAAAUUAAAAAUAUUUUUCCACUCAAAACACUGUUUUCUGGACAAAAUUCCAGCCUUUAACUAUAUAGCUACUUCUGGUUUCUUUACAUGCUUUUGAAGUGCGUAUUCUCACAUUUUAAAGGCCAAGUAUUUUUUUUUAUCAAUUUCUCAAAAGGCAUUUAAGCUUAACUUAAUUGAGGCAUCAUAUAGCAGGAAGAGCCUAGUCCUGGAGACAGCUAUCCUGAUUGGUAAGCCCAGAUCUGCCACUUGCACAGCUGCAACACCUUGGUCAAUUUACCUGAUCAUGUGUGUUGCAAUCUCAGCCAUGUCACUUACAAAUUCCAGGUAAGGAGUGGGGACACACCACAAUAAUGACAAGGUUAUUUCUGGGUGAUAGGAUUGUAAGUAAUUUUACUUGCCUUCCUUAUAAAUUUUGUUUUAAGACAUUCUUGUAGCAAUUUUAAGUGAUCAUUAUAUGAAAGGAACAACACCAGAUGGCUUCGCAUAUGUGGUUUUAUUUAAUCCUUGUAAUAAACUCACAAGAUAACUAAUAGUAUUGCUAUUUUACAGAUGAAGAAACUGAGGCUCCAAAGCAUUAAGUAAUUUGUAUAAACACCUCAAAGGAGUCUGACUUCCAGUCUGCCUGACUUCAAAGAUGGUACUUAUUUUUACUUCCUCUGGCCCAACCUAAGUGUCAUUCUCUUUUAAUGGGUAUAAUAAUUGCAUCUCAAAAUAUGGUGGGAGAAUGGAAUGAAAUGAUAAGAAUGAAAUUCCACUGCAAAUAAUAAAGCCUCUAUAAAGAAGAAGAACAACAAGUAAUGUGUAUUGUGUGCAGAGUGUGUGCCAGGCACUGUGCUAUUUCUAGAACUUUGGUUUAUCAUCUCAAUGA
rnacentral:lncRNA from 1 species